GAGUCCAGGGGAUGGGGCAGGUGGGGGGCCUGUGGGCUGUGGAGCUUUGUUCAUUUCAUUUGGUGCCACAUCAGGGUCCCCCCAGCACCUGUUGGGAAAGAGUGGAGCUCGGAAAGGAGAAGGGACCCAAGCUUAAGGCAAAUGGAGUGGGGGGAGGGGGUGAAGCAAGGGCCGGGUUCCACACCGAGUCCCGGAGGCGCGAAGGGGUUGAAAGAGCAGAAAAGAUCCAGCUCAUGUCCCCACCAACACGUUGUCAAACCAGAAUCACCUCCAACCACCCCCCUGAUCUGCUGAAACAGCCCCCUCACUCACCCCCUCGGUUAAGAAUAAGUCCACGGUGCGGCCUACAGGUUCUGGGCAUCCGAGGGCCUGGGGUUGGGAGGUGAGGGGUAUCAACCUGGCUCCGCGGGGCCCAAGACCAACCAGACCGGAAAUUCCAGGUCUCGCUGGCACCAGGCUCCCGGAUCACAAACGGAGCUAGCAGCUUCGGCCGUGGUGUCCCCACCCCCCACCUGGGGACACCGGGUUCGGGGCCAGGCCCAGGGGCACACAAGGCACGCCUGCUGCGGGUGGCCGCAGGGGCACCCGCGCGGGGCCAGACGCGAGGCCUGCCGCCGCCCAGGAGUGGAGACCAGGAAGGGCGGGAGUCGGGCCGUAAAAGGCCAGGCGGGCGGCGGCCGAAGAGAAGCCGGUUUCUAAUCCCGCUCGGCGGCCACCGCUUCUCCGCAGGCGCAGCCGGCGCCCCCACGUGACCGGCGCAGAGGGAGGAGCUACGCCCGGCGCCGCGGAGCACAGAAGAUUUGCCCCGCCUGGUCAUGUGACAGUCACUGCCCGCCCCCGUGUCCCCUCCCGAACUUUGGAACUUCCAGACUGACCCCCAUCUGCGUCUCCGUUCCGCGGUUCUUUAGUUCAUUCAUACUUAGAGCAUUUAUUGAGUGCAUACUAAGUACGAGGCGAAGUGCUGGCCAGGGGCUGAGAGUAGCGAAGUUCAUUAAAGACUCAGUCCUGCCUAAAUAAAUCAUGAUACAAAUAGGAAAAUAAAAAUUAUGCAACCUUUGAAGAUAAGGUGAUUGAAAUACUUAUUAAACUGAAUGUUAGGCCAGAAAGAUUGAAACAUUCUAAGAAAUUAGUAUGAGUAGAUUUGCCUCCCAAAGAUCAGCCACUCCCAGGGAGGGACAAAAGUCAAUCAUGGAAAGUUCAGAAUAAUGAGGAAAGAAGUAAUCCCAAAACCCCUUCCCUGCAGCCAAAAGACUUGGCACCAGGAGGAACCGUCCUAGAGCCAAAUACACGUACUCAGAUGGCCUGGGUUUUAAUCCAAACUCUGCUGCUUCCUGGCCAUGUACCUACUACCCACCUACUUAAUAACUGUUGUAAAAAUGGGAAGAUUUGAAACCAGGCAGUCUGACUCAAAUCUAAACUUUUAACCACCCUGCUUUCUUUACCAAUGACAACAUCCACUCACUCUAUUGGAUUGUGAAGAUUAAAGGAGUUAAUUCAUGUGAAAGGGCUUCAGUGCCUAUGUACCUAGCAAAGACACACUUGCUCUCACUCACCCACGUGUGAUCUGUGGGUGUAGGUGUGUGUAUGUGUACACAUGUAACCUCAGAAGGUAAGAAAAAAUUUUCUCUGUACCAAGGAUAGAGUGGUGGUUCAAUAUAUAUGGCCUAUCUGAUCUCAAUCUUCACAAUUUCCUAUAAAACAGAUUGUAUUAUUCUUCCCAUUGUAUAUGAGGAACUAAAGCUCCAAAGCAGCAAAGUAGACAGACACAUGGCAGAGGAACUAUAGUGAGAGUGAAUACGUAGAUCUAGUGUUCUCUGACUCGAUCAUGUAUGACCCCUUCCUCUACUCUUCUCAUUUCUCUUCCUCCCUAAGCCAACUAAUAAAUAAAAUUCAAUUCCUACCUA